rnacentral:tRNA from 1 species
UUAGUGGAAGCCAAACAGGCAAGUUACUGUUAAUAACUAAUUGGGUUUUAAACCGCCCCUGCUAAG